AUUACUCUUCUACUCACAAGCAUACAAAGACACCUCUGUGGAAUGAAUCCAGCAUACUGUAUCCUAGCCUCUUUAUCUCAUUUUUGGCUGGCUCCAAGUAUGACCAGUCAGCAGUGAGAAGAAAGUUUGCUGAGAUAACCAAGGCUUAAGCCAAGAAGAUAACCUUUGAGCCAAGAUUUGAAAGUACUGUGGGAGUAAGCCAUGGAGAAGAGACUUCCAGGCAGAGGGGCUGGCCCAGGCAAAGCCCUGGUGACCAGAGUGUGCCUGAUGUGUUCCAGGAACACCAAGAUGAACAGUGGAACUUGAGAAGCGUGAUCGAGAGGACAAGUAGAAUAGGAUGAGGCUUGAGCCAACAGAAGGCAGUGGCCAAAUACAAGUAGUUGAAAGGACUUUGGCAUUUACUUUGAAAGAAAUGGAAAACCACUGAAGGGGUUUGGAGCAGAAAGGUGACAUGAUUUGACCUGCAUUAUAAAAGAGUGUCACUCUGACUGCUGAAUUGUAUGUGGGCAAGGGUGGAAUCAGGAGAACGAGAGCAAGUUGGUUGGUUUUUGCAACAAUGGUGACAUGCAAAGGUGGUUGCUAUCAGGGAGGUGGUGAGUAGCAGUUGAAUUCUGCAUGUGUUUUAAGCAACAAGAUUUCCUGACAGACUGAGAGUGGAAUAUGAAAAAGGAAGGAGUCAAGCAAGACUUCAUGGCUUGUUGUUCACUUAUUUUUACUUUAAGAUAUAUCAGGAAGUGUGUUCAAAUUCAUUUCUUCACUAUUAGGUCAAACCCAAAGUUCUUAAUUAAGGCAAUCUCACACGUUUAAAAAUAUUAUUCAUGGUAAUAAUAAUAAUACUCAAAACCUAUUAAACAUCAGGCUCUUUAAUCCAGCAAUCUCAUGAGGCAGGUAUUAUUUUUCUCAAUUUAUAUAUGAGUAAACAAAAUCGUGAGAAAUAACUGGCAGCUCCCCUAAUUUUUGUCCCUGCUUCCAACAUAGGAUCAACUAGAGAAAGUCAAAUAUGCACCCCCUAAUCAAUCACCUGGGAUGUCCCAAUCAGGGCUUAUCCAACCUUGCCUUUUUCCCACUCUAAAGCUUUCCCACUCCUCUGCCUGCCUUUGAGUCUCUGCCAAAAUGCAACUGAUGGACUCCUUUGUUAUUGCAAGCUCUGAAUAAAUAGCCUCUGCUUGUUCUCAUUUGACUGUUCUUUAUUUCCACAAGUGUCUUAGGUAAUGUUCUCUGGGAAAAGGACUCUGAGACAAAGACUUGCACACAGGUUUACUGGGGGAC
rnacentral:lncRNA from 10 species